GACAUUUCACACUCAACUUCCUCUCUUUCUCUCGAAAAAACCUAAGACUCAAAAAAAACUUAAGACAAAACCAUCCUGAGAGUGAGACGACUUAACUCUCCGAAACCCACAAGUCGAUUCUCCCAGUCACCGAUUAAACUCGCCGGCCGCCGUUGAAGGUAGCCGCGACACUGAACCUCUUGCUCUUUCCUUCAACCUUGAUCCCCUUUCUCCAUCUCCAAAGAAUCAAACCCCAGAUCUUUGUCUUCGUCGAUGACCAGCCCAGAUUUUGAAGCUCCACUUCUUCUCUUUCUUCUUCGUCUUUCGCCGUUAAAGAUACUGGUGCAAAGAGAAGCUGGUUUUCUCUUGGAACAGAUUCUUGAAUUGUAGAAACUUCAGCUCAAGGAGGAGAAUAACUUCUCGAGGCAAGAAGAAGCAAGAUGACAACUCAGCAGCCAACUCAUAAAGUUGAUAUGUGCUUAAAUAUUUGCCCAUCUAUCUUCACAAUCUGUGGACCAUGUGGUGAGAGAAGAGACGAAAAUGGCUACUUAUGAACUCGUUGGUAUAUAUUGUGAACUUCUUGUUGCUCGUUUAGUGUGAUUGGCUCUCAAAAGUAAGUAAAAAACUAAACUCAGGCAAGUAUCUUUGAAGAACCUUUGUACACACUCGUUUGUUUUUAUUUAUUUGUGUUGAUCAUUGUUUGUGAUUUUACUUCAAAACAUGCUUUAAUGAUCUUAAGGUUAAGAGAUGUUAAAGAACUCUUUCAGAUAUUGUUAAGCAGUUUUCUGCAAAGUAUGAAAUAUUUUUUUUGUUUCAGCUGCUAUUGGUUGGCAACUAGAUUCUGGUGUGAGUCGAUUGAUAAAUGAAGACUCUUUUUUGGAAUGACAACAAAGACUCGGAGACUACCAAAACAGAGGAGAUUAGUUUGGGAAUGUGAAGUUAGUUUUAUUUUAUUUUGAGACUAACACUUAUGUUAUGUAAGAUUCUUUUAGUUAAUAUAAUAUUUAAUGUUACGUAUGUGAAUGAUUUUAUGAAAUAUAUAUAUAUAUAUAUUUA